CCUACGGGAGGCAGCAGUGAGGAAUAUUGGUCAAUGGGCGCGAGCCUGAACCAGCCAAGUAGCGUGAAGGAUGACUGCCCUACGGGUUGUAAACUUCUUUUAUAAAGGAAUAAAGUGAGGCACGUGUGACUUUUUGAAUGUACUUUAUGAAUAAGGAGCGGCUAACUCCGUGCCAGCAGCCGCGGUAAUACGGAGGAUCCGAGCGUUAUCCGGAUUUAUUGGGUUUAAAGGGAGCGUAGAUGGGUUGUUAAGUCAGUUGUGAAAGUUUGCGGCUCAACCGUAAAAUUGCCAUGGAUACUGGCAUUCUUGAGUACAGUUGAGGUAUGCGGAAUUCGUGGUGUAGCGGUGAAAUGCUUAGAUAUCACGCAGAACUCCGAUUGCGAAGGCAGCUUACUAAACUGCCCCUGACAUUGAUGCUCGAAAGUGUGGGUAUCAAACAGGAUUAGAUACCCCGGUAGUC
rnacentral:rRNA from 1 species